CCAUUAUAUCCAAGCUGAUCUCAUUUGAUCUCAGAAGCUAAGCAGCAUUGGGCCUGGUUAGUAUGUGGAUGGUAGAAAGUAUGGUC
rnacentral:rRNA from 1 species